rnacentral:rRNA from 1 species
UUCAAUUCGACGCAACGCGAAGAACCUUACCCAGGCUCGAACGGCAACUGACAUCCGGCGAAAGCCGGCUCCCGCAAGGGCAGUUGUCGAGGUGCUGCAUGGCUGUCGUCAGCUUGUGUCGUGAGAUGUUGGGUUAAGUCCCGCAACGAGCGCAACCCUUGUCCGCUGUUGCCAUCAGGUUAUGCUGGGCACUCUGCGGAGACUGCCGGUGAUAAACCGGAGGAAGGUGGGGAUGACGUCAAGUCAGCAUGGCCUUUAUGUCUGGGGCUACACACGUGCUACAAUGGCAGAUACAAACCGUCGCGAUGCCGCAAGGUGGAGCUAAUCGGAGAAAGUCUGUCUCAGUUCGGAUUGCAGGCUGCAACUCGCCUGCAUGAAGUUGGAAUCGCUAGUAAUCGCGGAUCAGCACGCCG